UCCGGCUUAUCACGGGCAGUUCCCCUAAAGUGCCCACCAUUACGUGCUGGCAACCAAGGGUGUGGGUUGCGCUCGUUGCCGGACUUAACCGAACAUCUCACAACACGAGCUGACGACAGCCAUGCACCACCUGUGUAGCACCCUCGAAGGCGACCACGUUUCGGGAGCUUGCAGAUCCAUGUCAAGCCCUGGUAAGGUUCUUCGCGUUGCAUCGAAUUAAGCCACAUGCUCCACCGCUUGUGCGGGCCCCCGCCAAUUCCUUUGAGUUUUAAUCUUGCGAUCGUAGUUCCCAGGCGGUUCACUUAAUGCGUUAGCUGCGGCACCGAGGCAAAGCCCCAACACCUAGUGAACAUCGUUCAUGGCCAAGACUAC
rnacentral:misc_RNA from 1 species